rnacentral:rRNA from 1 species
CCUACGGGUGGCAGCAGUGGGGAAUAUUGCACAAUGGGGAAAACCCUGAUGCAGCGACGCCGCGUGAAGGAAGAAGUAUUUCGGUAUGUAAACUUCUAUCAGCAGGGAAGAAAAUGACGGUACCUGACUAAGAAGCCCCGGCUAACUACGUGCCAGCAGCCGCGGUAAUACGUAGGGGGCAAGCGUUAUCCGGAUUUACUGGGUGUAAAGGGAGCGUAGGCGGCGAUGCAAGUCAGAAGUGAAAGCCCGGGGGUCAACUCCGGGACUGCUUUUGAAACUGUAUGGCUAGAUUGAAGGAGAGGGAAGUGGAAUGUCUAGUGUAGCGGUGAAAUGCGUAGAUAUUAGGAGGAACACCAGUGGCGAAGGCGGCUUGCUGGACUGUAAAUGACGCUGAGGCUCGAAAGCGUGGGGAGCAAACAGGAUUAGAUACCCGGGUAGUC